rnacentral:lncRNA from 1 species
AGGAGCUUGAACAGCUGCGCAAUGUAAGGCUGGAGAACAUUGACCCUAUCACACCCUCGCCUACCUAGUCGUGGGCGCUCUACCACGGCAUGCUUUAUGAAAGGGGCAGCCACACAGUCAAACCCAGGCGAAGCUUGCGCGUUCAUCUUACUGAUCUGCUGAGCAACCAACCCCUGAAAUGUGGUAAGGUCAGGGGCAUCUACAACAUCUAGCUCCACGCCCACUCCUUCUCUCCGCUGCC